UAGGGAAUCUUCGGCAAUGGGGGCAACCCUGACCGAGCAACGCCGCGUGAGUGAAGAAGGUUUUCGGAUCGUAAAGCUCUGUUGUAAGAGAAGAACGUGUGUGAGAGUGGAAAGUUCACACAGUGACGGUAACUUACCAGAAAGGGACGGCUAACUACGUGCCAGCAGCCGCGGUAAUACGUAGGUCCCGAGCGUUGUCCGGAUUUAUUGGGGGUAAAGCGAGCGCAGGCGGUUUAAUAAGUCUGAAGUUAAAGGCAGUGGCUUAACCAUUGUUCGCUUUGGAAACUGUUAAACUUGAGUGCAGAAGGGGAGAGUGGAAUUCCAUGUGUAGCGGUGAAAUGCGUAGAUAUAUGGAGGAACACCGGUGGCGAAAGCGGCUCUCUGGUCUGUAACUGACGCUGAGGCUCGAAAGCGUGGGGAGCAAACAGG
rnacentral:rRNA from 1 species